CUCGUCUAUCUCUCUCUCUAUCAGCUCACGCCUUCUCUUCUCUCGACGAUGACUUGGUGGCGAUGGAGGGAGCUUAGUGGCAGCGUUGCGACGGAGGGUGAGAGGGCAGCGAUGAUCGCCACCGGCCGGCGUAGGAAGUCUUUUGCGGCGUAGAAAGAGAGAUCUGCGAAGAACGGAGGGUGAGAGAUCUGCGACGAACGGAGGGUGAGAGAUCUGCGACAGAGGGGGAGAGAUCUGCGACGGAGGAAUAGGAUACUUGUUGAUUUGUGAAGUUCUUUAAGAUGACAACUGAAGAAGUUGGAUGUGAGCAAGAUAAUUCGUUCCCUGAUGGCUUCAACGUCAAUUAUCUCAAAGUUUAUUACGGGAUUUGUUACAGCUGGGGUGUUGCCAACAUUGAGUGGAGAUAGGGUUUAUGGUGACAACUCUUGUUUUUGUUACUGUUGGGGUCAUUGUGUCUCUUUGUGCUACAAUCUGCUACAACAGAGGGCCCUCCACAAAGCUACUUGGUACUUUCAAAUAAGCUAGUCCUCUAUGAUCUUGAAAGUCAGGCCAUUGGAUGGACAAAAUAUAACUGUAAGAUAUUUCCUAUUCAAUACAUUACUUUGUCUUUGUUUUAGUUAGAUCAUAUAGUUCCCCAGUACAUGGUCUAUAUUUCUCCAUUUCUUUUCCUGUCAAUCCUGCUUUUACUACCUUAUCAUUGUUUAUUUGAUUUCUUUCUAUGUUUCUGUGGAGAUUCAUCUUGUUGGCAAGAACUUUAAAUGAGGAUGAAAGGGAUCUGCAGCUCUCUGUAAAUUAUCUUUUGUUUUUAUGUCUGAUUUUUUAAGAGAAACUGGUUUUUCUUCACCCAUAUGUUAUAUUGAAGAAUUGUAUGUAUUUUUGUUGUAAAUUUUAUCAAGGAGCUGGUUAGUAUGGUUACUAGAAA